rnacentral:rRNA from 1 species
UGCAGUCGAACGAAGUAGCAAUACUUAGUGGCAGACGGGUGAGUAACAUGUGGGUAUCUGCCCUUUGGCCUGGAAUAACACGAGGAAACUUGUGCUAAUACCGGAUAAGUCUUUACGGAGAAAGCUUUAUGCACCAUUGGAUGAGCCCGCACUUGAUUAGUUUGUUGGUAGGGUAAUGGCCUACCAAGACUGAGAUCAAUAGCUGAUUUGAGAGGAUGAUCAGCCACAUUGGGACUGAGACACGGCCCAAACUCCUACGGGAGGCAGCAGUGGGGAAUCUUGCACAAUGGAGGAAACUCUGAUGCAGCGAUGCCGCGUGAGUGAAGAAGGCCCUUGGGUUGUAAAGCUCUUUCGUCGGGGAAGAAAAUGACUGUACCCGAAUAAGAAGGUCCGGCUAACUUCGUGCCAGCAGCCGCGGUAAUACGAAGGGACCUAGCGUAGUUCGGAAUUACUGGGCUUAAAGAGUUCGUAGGUGGUUGAAAAAGUUGGUGGUGAAAUCCCAGAGCUUAACUCUGGAACUGCCAUCAAAACUUUUCAGCUAGAGUUUGAUAGAGGAAAGUAGAAUUUCUAGUGUAGAGGUGGAAUUCGUAGAUAUUAGAAAGAAUACCAAUUGCGAAGGCAGCUUUCUGGAUCAUUACUGACACUGAGGAACGAAAGCAUGGGUAGCGAANAGGAUUAGAUACCCUCGUAGUCCAUGCCGUAAACGAUGUGUGUUAGACGUUGGAAAUUUAUUUUCAGUGUCGCAGCGAAAGCGAUAAACACACCGCCNGGGGAGUACGACCGCAAGGUUAAAACUCAAAUGAAUUGACGGGGACCCGCACAAGUAG